rnacentral:rRNA from 1 species
UACGUAGGGGGCAAGCGUUGUCCGGAAUCAUUGGGCGUAAAGCGCGUGUAGGCGGCUCGAUAAGUCUGCUGUGAAAGUCCAGGGCUCAACCCUGGGAUGCCGGUGGAUACUGUCGAGCUCGAGUCCGGAAGAGGCGAGUGGAAUUCCUGGUGUAGCGGUGAAAUGCGCAGAUAUCAGGAGGAACACCAAUGGCGAAGGCAGCUCGCUGGGACGGUACUGACGCUGAGACGCGAAAGCGUGGGGAGCAAACAGG